UUUUAUGGAGAGUUUGAUCCUGGCUCAGGAUGAACGCUGGCGGCGUGCCUAAUACAUGCAAGUCGAGCGAACAGAUAAGGAGCUUGCUCCUUUGACGUUAGCGGCGGACGGGU
rnacentral:rRNA from 1 species